AGAUUGAAUGCUGGCGGGCAGGCCUAACACAUGCAAGUCGAGCGGAAACGAGUUAUCUGAACCUUCGGGGAACGAUAACGGCGUCGAGCGGCGGACGGGUGAGUAAUGCCUAGGAAAUUGCCCUGAUGUGGGGGAUAACCAUUGGAAACGAUGGCUAAUACCGCAUAAUGCCUACGGGCCAAAGAGGGGGACCUUCGGGCCUCUCGCGUCAGGAUAUGCCUAGGUGGGAUUAGCUAGUUGGUGAGGUAAGGGCUCACCAAGGCGACGAUCCCUAGCUGGUCUGAGAGGAUGAUCAGCCACACUGGAACUGAGACACGGUCCAGACUCCUACGGGAGGCAGCAGUGGGGAAUAUUGCACAAUGGGCGCAAGCCUGAUGCAGCCAUGCCGCGUGUGUGAAGAAGGCCUUCGGGUUGUAAAGCACUUUCAGUCGUGAGGAAGGUAGUGUAGUUAAUAGCUGCAUUAUUUGACGUUAGCGACAGAAGAAGCACCGGCUAAC
rnacentral:rRNA from 1 species